rnacentral:rRNA from 1 species
UCGGGAAUUUUGGGCAAUGGGCGAAAGCCUGACCCAGCAACGCCGCGUGAAGGAUGAAGUAUUUCGGUAUGUAAACUUCGAAAGAAUAGGAAGAAUAAAUGACGGUACUAUUUAUAAGGUCCGGCUAACUACGUGCCAGCAGCCGCGGUAAUACGUAGGGACCAAGCGUUGUUCGGAUUUACUGGGCGUAAAGGGCGCGUAGGCGGCAAUUCAAGUCAUCUGUGAAAUCUCCGGGCUUAACUCGGAACGGUCAGAUGAUACUGCUUUGCUAGAGUGCAGAAGGGGCAAUCGGAAUUCUUGGUGUAGCGGUGAAAUGCGUAGAUAUCAAGAGGAACACCUGAGGCGAAGACGGGUUGCUGGGCUGACACUGACGCUGAGGCGCGAAAGCCAGGGGAGCAAACGGGAUUAGAUACCCCCGUAGUCCCUGAG